rnacentral:rRNA from 1 species
UACAAUGGAGAGUUUGAUCCUGGCUCAGGAUGAACGCUAGCGGCAGGCUUAACACAUGCAAGUCGAGGGGUAGAAUGUCUUCGGAUGUUUGAGACCGGCGAACGGGUGCGUAACACGUAUGCAACCUACCUUUUACUGGGAGAUAGCCCGGAGAAAUCCGGAUUAAUAUCCCAUAUGCUCGUACGAUCUCCUGAUCGAGCGAGGAAAGCUCCGGCGGUAAAAGAUGGGCAUGCGUCCCAUUAGCUAGUUGGUGAGGUAAUGGCUCACCAAGGCUACGAUGGGUAGGGGGCCUGAGAGGGUGACCCCCCACACUGGUACUGAGACACGGACCAGACUCCUACGGGAGGCAGCAGUGAGGAAUAUUGGGCAAUGGAGGCAACUCUGACCCAG